GCCGGCGUAGCUCAAUAGGCAGAGCGUGGGAUUUGUAAUCCCAAGGUUGAGGGUUCAAGCCCCUCCGCCGGCU
rfam:Thermodesulfobacterium geofontis OPF15, complete genome.